UCAUAGAAUCACAGAAUGGUUUGAGUUGGAAAAGAAUUCAAAGAUUAUCUUGUUCUAAUCCCCUGCCAUGGGCAGGAACACCUUCCACUAGCCCAGGUUGCUCCAAGCCCCAUCCAACCUGGCCUUGGACACUUCCAGGGAUGG